GACGAACGCUGGCGGCGUGCUUAACACAUGCAAGUCGAGCGGUAAGGCCCUUUCGGGGGUACGACGAGCGGCGAACGGGUGAAUAACACGUGGGUGACCUGCCCUUAGCUCUGGGAUAAGCCUGGGAAACUGGGUCUAACACCGGAUAUGACCUCAUGACUCAUGUUGUGGGGUGGAAAGCCUUGUGCGGCUAGGGAUGGGCCCGCGGCCUAUCAGCUUGUUGGUGGGGUAAUUGCCACCAAGGCGGACGACGGGUAGCCGGCCUGAGAGGGCGACCGGCCACACUGGGACUGAGACACGGCCCAGACUCCUACGGGAGGCAGCAGUGGGGAAUCUUGCGCAAUGGGCGAAAGCCUGACGCAGCGACGCCGCGUGAGGGAUGACGGCCU
rnacentral:rRNA from 1 species